GCUGAGCGACGGCGGGUCCCCUUCCACACGGAGGCAGCGGCGCUGAACCGCUGAGGGACUCCGCGCACCUGCAGCGGGACCUCCUCCAGCUCCAGACACCCUCAACCGCACGUCCCGCUUCUCUUCCGCCGCUUCACAAAGGCGCCGGCAGCUGACAAGACGGUAGCCUACGGCGGGUGCCGAGGGUCAAAUCAGCUCUGAAAGCGUUGCGGGAUGCGCAGGAGCUUACAGGAACUGGAAAAGGACACAGAGGCCUAUAUAGUACCGCGAGGUGCUCACGGGGGACGACUGAAGCAACGAGGGGAUGGGACGCUUCCAAAGGCCGAGCUCCGAACCGCUCCCGCGGAGCGCCGGUGAAGUGGCUCUGAGAACAACGACGCCCAACAUGCAGCGCGCCCCGCUGGGCGGGCCUCGCCCGCAGGGCCCUAAGGAUGGAGCGUGGAAAUUCAGUGAUGGCUGAAGAGUACAUGAAAGAAGCUGGCAGAUGCUACACCAAAAGCUAAAAUGAACACCAAGAACUAUAAUGACUUCAACAGUCAGUUAUGGAUGUUCAACUGUUCUAUAAAAAGAGUCCUAAGGCAUCUCAAGUAGACACACAUAAAUGGACACAUGCAAAGUCAACAGUCCCCUUCAAAACUGGUCAAACAGCACAACUGUCUUUUACUGGGAUACCUGCUUUCUUUGGAAGAGGAUCAUGUUAUGAGAUGGUGUCUCUGGACUCUAAAGUUUACAUGAUUUGUAGAAUCAGUACUACAAAAGACUUUACAAUGAUAUCAGAUGUUUUUAAUUUUGUGUUUUGUAUUUCUCCUGCCACACAUUCAGAUAGUCUCUCUAUGGUGUCGUACACUUCUCAUAUGAACAGGAAACCUGUGAUCUUAAUUUUUGUUGUUUUAGAAACACAGUGUUGCAGUUCUUACUUAAGCACUGAUCCCUGACUGACUUGGCUAAUGUAAAAGCGAUUUUAUCCUAGUCAUCCUUUCCUUACCUUUUAUUUGUAAGCCUUGCUUGCACUAAAAAAUAGUUUUAACUGAAUUGAAACUUGAUUCAGUUUUAAUUGAACAAGUGCAGAUCCCUUUUACAGAAUCCCCCAGGUUACUUUAAGAUACCUUAUUUUAACUUAGGAUAUGGUUUAAUUGAAUAUUUCUUUCAUUGACUUUCCUGGCUGAAAUAGGUCUCACUGUGGACACCUAUUCUCACCCGCAUUCAUAGAAUCGCAGAAUGGUGAAGGACCUUAAAGAUCGUCUGAUUACAAUCCCCUGCCAUGGGCAGGGAUACCUUCCACUAGACCAGGUUGCUCAAAGCUCUGUCCAAACUGGUCUUGGAACACUUACAGUGAUGGGGCAGCUAUAGCUUCUCUGGGCAACCUGUUCCAGUGUCUCCAACCCUCAUAGUUAAGAAUUCUUCCUUAUAUAUAACUAAAUCUAUCCUCUUUCAGUCAUUCUCCUUUUUCCUAUCACUACAUGUGCUUGUAAAAAGUACCUUUCCAGCUUUCUUGUAGGUCCCUUUUAAGUACUAGAAGGCUACUGUCAGGUCUCCCCAGAGCUUUCUCUUCUCUAGGCUGAACAACCCCAGCUCUCUCAGCCUGUCUUCACAGGAGAGGUGCUUCAGAUCUCUGAACAUCUUUGUGGCCUCCUCUGGACUCACUCCAACAGGUCUACAUCCUUUUUAUCUUGGGGUCCCCAGACCUGAACACAGUACUCCAGGUGGGCUCUCACCAAAGUAGAGGGGGAGAAUCCCCUCCCUCAACCUGCUGGUCAUGGUGCUUUUGAUGCAGCUUUUAAUGAUUGGCUUUCUGGGCUGCGAGUGCACAUUGGUGGGUCAUGUUGAGCUUCUUGUCGACCAGCACCCCCAAGCCUUUCUUGUCAAGGCUGCUCUCAGUCAUUUUCCACCCAGCCUGUAUUUGUACUUGGGAUUGUCCCAAUUUACAUGCCUUGUUGAACCUCAUGAGGUUCCUAUUGGCCCAUCUCCUGAGCCUCUCCAGGUUCCUCUGGAUGUCACCCCUUCCCUCCAGUGUGUUGACUGCACCACACAUCUUGGUGUUGCCAGCAAACCUGUUGAUGAUGCACUCAAUCCCACUGUCCAUGUUGGCCACAAAGAUGUUGAACAUUGCCGAUCCCAAUACCAACUCCUGAUGAAUGCCACUUGUUACUGGGCUCCCUUUGGACCUUGGCCAUUGGCCACAACUCUUUGAGUGUGACCAUGCAGCCAAUUCUAUAUCCAGCAAACGGUCUGUCUGUCAAAUCCAUGUCUCUCCAAUUUAGAGACAAGGAUGUCAUCAGGGACAAUGUCAAAUGCUUUGCACAAGACCAGGUACAUGACACCUUCCUGUAUCCACUAAUGCUGUAACCCCAUUCUAGAUAAUUCUGUGUUAGUUGGGCUGGUUGUUUGAUCAUGUUUUUUUUGUUUGCAACUUUCACUGAUGUUUCAUUAAGUGAAUCCAUAGAGAAUAUGAAUGCACACAACUAGCACUAUUCUGUUAAUUCUGCAAGACUUCGUAGGUUUGUUUUUUUUUUUCAAUCCUGUGUCCGGCUGCAUAAAGAUAGCAGGUUAAGGCUUAUAAUACACAAAACUAUUCUGAAUAAUCAAGAUGCUUCAGCACAAUAUCCCAGCAACCAGAACUGUGCAGAAGAGUCCGGUUAAGAUAUAGUUAAAUAUUUUUGCCAACCUUUAAUGAACACUGUUGUAAAACUUGUAACAGCUAAGAAACAUAAACAUAUAUUCAAAUCAAUGAAAAUUAAUUAGAUAAGCUCUCUGACAGCAUAUUUGAUGUUAUUUGAUUAUAUAUCCACAAAGGAAGCUUCAUGUUCAUGCAAGCUAGAUGUCCCGUAACAUAGUAAUGAAUUGUAGCACAUUUUUGCCAGUGCUUUUCGACCUAGUGAAACAUAAAAGAUUUUUCAUUUUGUUUAUUCUGUAACAAAUGGCUGCAUGUGUGUGAUAACAGUAUAAUAAACAAGAUUGAAUUCUGGAAUGUUAACCAAAAA